rnacentral:rRNA from 1 species
ACGGGUGAGUAAUGUCUGGGAAACUGCCUGAUGGAGGGGGAUAACUACUGGAAACGGUAGCUAAUACCGCAUAACGUCGCAAGACCAAAGAGGGGGACCUUCGGGCCUCUUGCCAUCAGAUGUGCCCAGAUGGGAUUAGCUAGUAGGUGGGGUAACGGCUCACCUAGGCGACGAUCCCUAGCUGGUCUGAGAGGAUGACCAGCCACACUGGAACUGAGACACGGUCCAGACUCCUACGGGAGGCAGCAGUGGGGAAUAUUGCACAAUGGGCGCAAGCCUGAUGCAGCCAUGCCGCGUGUAUGAAGAAGGCCUUCGGGUUGUAAAGUACUUUCAGCGGGGAGGAAGGUGUUGCGGUUAAUAACCACAGCAAUUGACGUUACCCGCAGAAGAAGCACCGGCUAACUCCGUGCCAGCAGCCGCGGUAAUACGGAGGGUGCAAGCGUUAAUCGGAAUUACUGGGCGUAAAGCGCACGCAGGCGGUCUGUCAAGUCGGAUGUGAAAUCCCCGGGCUCAACCUGGGAACUGCAUUCGAAACUGGCAGGCUAGAGUCUUGUAGAGGGGGGUAGAAUUCCAGGUGUAGC